rnacentral:rRNA from 1 species
UACGAAGGGGGCUAGCGUUGCUCGGAAUUACUGGGCGUAAAGGGCGCGUAGGCGGAUAUUUAAGUUAGAGGUGAAAGCCCAGGGCUCAACCCUGGAAUAGCCUUUAAUACUGGAUAUCUUGAGUUCGGGAGAGGUGAGUGGAACUCCGAGUGUAGAGGUGAAAUUCGUAGAUAUUCGGAAGAACACCAGUGGCGAAGGCGAGUCCCUGGACAACACCUGACACUGAGGCACGAAAGCUAGGGGAGCAAACAGG